UGAAAUGAGUUUUCGUAUAUACAUACGAGCGUGUUUCACAUACGCAAAAUGAUGCCUACAUCCACGUGGUGGCAUAUACUCUAAGAAGAGUAGAAUAGUCGUCAACUGAUAGCGGCAUAGGACUGCGUGUUGUUGGCGCUGAUUACUGCCUUCGAAAAACCCAAUUCCCGCAGCGGCGCCACUUGAAUGCCGCCAAUAAAACCGCAGCAGCACGCAUUUCAACACGCUGCUUUGAAAACGCGCAAGGAGGUAGAAACAGACUAAUUUCGGGACAACGUAUGCAAAUCGCGUAAAUUUAUUACCAAAGUAGUGGUUUGGUUCGCGCGACGCACCACGCGCUACGUCCAAUAUUAGGUCGACAUAAUCGCACAGCAGAGUCGAUAAUUUGAGCAGCCAUCGAUCGGUUUCACACCAAGUUUUCUCCAGUGGAAAAUGCGCAUCCUCAAAGACGCGGUACAGUGCGCCUCGAAGACGCUAUUUGUUAUACUUGUAGAACAGAGUAUCGCUAUGCCCAUUCACAUGCGGGCUUACAAAAUUCAACACGUGCAAGAAGAAAUUAAAGCAGGACGACCAUCAAGCGCGUUGCACGUUCAGUGAAUGGACGUAAAACGAUCCCGAUUGUCACAACAAAAAUUUGUCGGGUGAUGAGACUUAUUUGUGGUGGAAUGGGUACGUUAAUAAACAAAUAUCUCGCAUUUGAUGUGAUAAUAAUCUACAAGCCAUUCGUGAGACGCCGUUACAUCCUCAAAAAGUCAGUUUAGUGACUGGUGACAUUUGUCCGUAGGAGAAUAUUAGGUGCGCUGUGGCAAACCCCUAUCUUUAUAAUAAAGCCAAAUUCUUGGCCAUAACAAUAAAUUAAA